rnacentral:pre_miRNA from 1 species
UUUAUGCGGCAGCAUAGGACUGAAUGUGGAAGGACUUAUACGAUUCUACCCCUUUUCUUUUUUGUGCUGCUUUGGAG